rnacentral:tRNA from 1 species
ACCGGGAUAGCUGAGUGAUUAAGGCGUUGGACUUAAGAUCCAAUGGACGCAUGUCCACGUGGGUUUGAGGCCCACUCCAGUA